rnacentral:rRNA from 1 species
AGAUGGCGACCGGCGCACGGGUGAGUAACACGUAUCCAACCUGCCGAUAACUCCGGAAUAGCCUUUCGAAAGAAAGAUUAAUACCGGAUGGCAUACGAAUAUCGCAUGAUAUUUUUAUUAAAGAAUUUCGGUUAUCGAUGGGGAUGCGUUCCAUUAGUUUGUUGGCGGGGUAACGGCCCACCAAGACUACGAUGGAUAGGGAUUCUGAGAGGAAGGUCCCCCACAUUGGAACUGAGACACGGUCCAA